GACGAACGCUGGCGGCGUGCUUAACACAUGCAAGUCGAACGAAAAUACCAAGCUUGCUUGGUUGAUUAGUGGCGAACGGGUGAGUAACACGUGAGUAACCUGCCCCUUACUUUCCUGGAUAACUGCUCGAAAGGGUAGCUAAUACGGGAUAUUCUGACCAGCCUGCAUGGGUUGGUUUGGAAAGGUUGUUUUUCUGGUAAGGGAUGGGCUCGCGGCCUAUCAGCUUGUUGGUGGGGUGAUGGCCUACCAAGGCUUUGACGGGUAGCCGGCCUGAGAGGGUGGACGGUCAGACUGGGACUGAGAUACGGCCCAGACUCCUACGGGAGGCAGCAGUGGGGAAUAUUGCACAGUGGGCGAAAGCCUGAUGCAGCGACGCCGCGUGCGGGAUGAAGGCCUUCGGGUUGUAAACCUCUUUCGUGAGGGAACAAGGCACUGCUUUUUUGGUGGUGUUGAGGGUACCUGGAUAAGAAGCGCCGGCUAACUACGUG
rnacentral:rRNA from 1 species